CCUACGGGAGGCAGCAGUGAGGAAUAUUGGUCAAUGGGCUUACGCCUGAACCAGCCAAGUCGCGUGAGGGAAGACUGCCCUAUGGGUUGUAAACCUCUUUUGUCAGGGAGCAACGCCGGCUACGUGUAGCCGGACUGAGAGUACCUGAAGAAAAAGCAUCGGCUAACUCCGUGCCAGCAGCCGCGGUAAUACGGAGGAUGCGAGCGUUAUCCGGAUUUAUGGGGUUUAAAGGGUGCGUAGGCGGAAUGCCAAGUCAGCGGUAAAAUCGCGGGGCUAAACCUCGCUCUGCCGUUGAAACUGGCGUGCUUGAGUCGGCGAGAAGUAGGCGGAAUGCGUGGUGUAGCGGUGAAAUGCUUAGAUAUGACGCAGAACUCCGAUUGCGAAGGCAGCAUGCCGGCGCCCAACUGACGCUGAAGCACGAAAGCGUGGGUAUCGAACAGGAUUAGAUACCCUUGUAGUC
rnacentral:rRNA from 1 species